rnacentral:rRNA from 1 species
GACGAACCGAGCGAACGUUGUUCGGAAUCACUGGGCUUAAAGGGAGCGUAGGCGGGCUAUCAAGUCUGGGGUGAAAUGCCACGGCUCAACCGUGGAACUGCCUCAGAUACUGACGGCCUCGAGGGAGAUAGGGGCAUGCGGAACUGUAGGUGGAGCGGUGAAAUGCGUUGAUAUCUACAGGAACUCCGGUGGCGAAAGCGGCGUGCUGGAUCUCUUCUGACGCUGAGGCUCGAAAGCUAGGGGAGCAAACGGG